rnacentral:rRNA from 1 species
UGCAGUCGACGAACUUCCGUUAAUUGAUUAUGACGUGCUUGCACUGAAUGAGAUUUUAACACGAAGUGAGUGGCGGACGGGUGAGUAACACGUGGGUAACCUGCCCAGAAGCAGGGGAUAACACCUGGAAACAGAUGCUAAUACCGUAUAACAGAGAAAACCGCCUGGUUUUCUUUUAAAAGAUGGCUCUGCUAUCACUUCUGGAUGGACCCGCGGCGCAUUAGCUAGUUGGUGAGGUAACGGCUCACCAAGGCGAUGAUGCGUAGCCGACCUGAGAGGGUAAUCGGCCACAUUGGGACUGAGACACGGCCCAGACUCCUACGGGAGGCAGCAGUAGGGAAUCUUCCACAAUGGACGCAAGUCUGAUGGAGCAACGCCGCGUGAGUGAAGAAGGGUUUCGGCUCGUAAAGCUCUGUUGUUAAAGAAGAACGUGGGUGAGAGUAACUGUUCACCCAGUGACGGUAUUUAACCAGAAAGCCACGGCUAACUACGUGCCAGCAGCCGCGGU